UGGGGAAUUUUGCACAAUGGGGGAAACCCUGAUGCAGCGACGCCGCGUGAUUUAGAAGGCCUUCGGGUUGUAAAAAUCUUUUUUACGGGAUGAAAAUGACAGUACCGUAAGAAUAAGGUCCGGCUAAAUACGUGCCAGCAGCCGCGGUAAUACGUAUGGACCGAGCGUUGUCCGGAAUCAUUGGGCGUAAAGGGUACGUAGGCGGCCUAGUAAGUUAGAAGUGAAAUAAUAUAGCUCAACUAUAUAAAGCUUUUAAAACUGCUAGGCUUGAGAGAUGGAAGGGAAAGUGGAAUUCCUAGUGUAGCGAUGAAAUGCGCAGAUAUUAGGAAGAAUACCGGUGGCGAAGGCGACUUUCUGGUCAUCAUCUGACGCUGAGGUACGAAAGCGUGGGUAGCAAACAG
rnacentral:rRNA from 1 species